UAGACUCAAUUCGCGUUUAAAAGUAUGCAUCAUGAGGAACUUGGAGAACAAUGCGCAUAAGUGCAGUUUUUUAAAAAAAAUUGAGAUAAUAUGGACGUAUUUCUAUCAAACAGACCUAUGUGGAGGUGAGAAAUAUAGGGUGUGCUCGUUAGUUCUCUGACCGUAAGAGUGAAUGAGAAUAAUAAAGCGCCAAAAACGUCAGCGGCAACGAAGGAGUGGGAGUGGAACGAAGGCGAACGUCGUCGGGGCGCGUUAACUCAUGAGCCCUGUUCACAACGCUCUCGUCCCAUGCCCGCGGCUCAUGAGUCCCGCAUUCAGUUGGCACAUAGGUCUGUUUGAUAGAAUGUAAUAUCCGGCUUUUCCAAUUCUUCAAAAGGAAUCACGCCCACUUUUACAUUACUUUUCCAGCUUCGACGAGCGCACCCAUAUUUCUCACCUGCACAUAGGUCUGUUUGAUAGAAAUACGUCCAUAUAUGACUUCCAAUAAAACUAGUCUGAAUCCAUAUUCUGUGAAAAAUUCGCUCCCAAAUUCCAAUUUUCAAGCAUCAUAAAAUCAGUUUGAACAUUCUUUCCACCAUGAGGAUCCAUUUAAUUUUGAAACUUCAAACACGUAUUUCUCGAAAUAGCAAAAACUGCACCUUGUCCUCCAAGCCCCUCGUAUCAAUUAUUAAAUUCUCUAAUUUUUCCGUGGAGGACCCCCCCUGCUAGGAGGAACAUCCAGGCCAGACCCCCUCCAUGUUUUUCCAAAUUCAGUCUCCCAAAGUUUUAGGCCAUACGCCGCCGCAAUUAUGACGAAUAUCCUAUAAUGAGGUGAGUAGCGCUCGAGCUUGACACUGCCGUCAUUUUAAAUUUGGCGCCAUUACUUUAAAUUUCGCGGGGGAACGCGAGGGAAAAGGGCGGGAUAUUUAGUACUUAGUUUGUUCGUCGUAGCGCUAGCGUUUGUGUGUUAUUCUCAGUUUCCUAACCUGCCCGCCCAGGUUACACCACUUGCCUCUUUCAGACAUUUCAUUUGUUUGUAUUUUUCGGUGCUUUCCCCAAAAGUUUUGAUUAAUUGUAAUUGUCACGUGCCGGCUAGCAAUAAAUCUGGAGUUUUAAUCAAGAACUCAGUCACUAACUCAUCAACAUACGUGUUCGGUCUAAAUAUCAAUCUCUGUAACCAUCAUCCUUGAACUUACUUUAGGAAACUUCAUCAAGAAGCACGAUGUCUGACGAAGUUCUAGGUGUUGAUUAUUCCAAAUGGAAGGUAAAUUGAGAUUAUCCAUCCUCAUCCGCAGGAUUUUCCUGUUUUCUUUUCAGACUAUGGUAGUUUUAAUAGUCUCAACUUUGCAUG
rnacentral:lncRNA from 1 species